rnacentral:rRNA from 1 species
AUUGAACGCUGGCGGCAUGCCUUACACAUGCAAGUCGAACGGCAGCACGGGUGCUUGCACCUGGUGGCGAGUGGCGAACGGGUGAGUAAUACAUCGGAACGUACCUUAUCGUGGGGGAUAACGAAGCGAAAGUUGUGCUAAUACCGCAUACGCCCUGAGGGGGAAAGCGGGGGAUCGCAAGACCUCGCGCGAUUAGAGCGGCCGAUGCCUGAUUAGCUAGUUUGUGGGGUAAAAGCCCACCAAGGCGACGAUCAGUAGCUGGGCUGAGAGGACGAUCAUCCACACGGUGACUGAGACACGGCCCAGACUCCUACGGGAGGCAGCAGUGGUGAAUUUUGGACAAUGGGUGCAACCCUGAUCCAGCAAUGCCGCGUGAGUGAAGAAGGCCUUCGGGUUGUAAAGCUCUUUUGUCAGGGAAGAAACACCGGCUCUAACACAGUCCGGGAAUGACGGUACCUGAAGAAUAAGCACCGGCUAACUACGUGCCAGCCGCCGCGGUAA